UGUUAGCCACAUGCUUCAGCCCACGGUAGCCUGUGCUACCUGGGAGGUGAAUACAUGGUUGUUGAAACCAGUUCAAGACGCUUAGCUCAUCAUUGAGGGACGCUACAAUAUAAAUAUAAACAUGAAUUUGAUUUAUGAAUGCUUUAGAUUAAUAAGGAGUGUAUUUCUCUACUAUUACUCCACAAUAUCAGGUCAAUUUGGUUUAAUGUAUAGUAUGCACUAUGACAAUAAUGUUUCCAUGUUAUGGAGUUGCGAUUCAUUUUAUAAAACAAUUGCUAUGUUCUGUUUUUUAAUCAAGGAGGAUCCAAGUGAAGCUACAGGAGUUUCAUUAACGUCAACAACUUGGACCGAACAGUUUGUUUUGCUUGAUGAAGAGCAGGAAGGGCAGCCUGGAGAGAAAGAGAAGCCGGGUUGAGCCCACUACCAUCAUCCACUACCAUCAUCCACGUACCACGAGGAAGAUGAGGGAGAGAAAUGAUCCUACCAUUAAAGAGACUGUGAAAAGAACGUUGAGAACAUCACCACUCUACAGGAAGACACAGUCCAGUAAUGGGUGUCAGAAUUUCAGUAGUGAACGACAGAAACAAACAAUCCAAAUUACCUGCAGAAAGCCCUUGAUGGACGCUUCAGCUGCAUCGUCAGACUGG